rnacentral:rRNA from 1 species
UACAGAGGUCUCAAGCGUUGUUCGGAUUCAUUGGGCGUAAAGGGUGCGUAGGCGGCGCGGUAAGUCGGGUGUGAAAAUCUCGGAGCUUAACUCCGAAACUGCAUUCGAUACUGCCGUGCUCGAGGACUGGAGAGGAGACUGGAAUUCAUGGUGUAGCAGUGAAAUGCGUAGAUAUCUGGAGGAACACCGGUGGCGAAGGCGGGCAUCCUGGACCAACACGUGAACACUGAUGAGCGAAAGCCAGGGGAGCAAACGGG